rnacentral:rRNA from 2 species
GUGGCGAACUGGUGAGUAACACGUGGGUAACCUGCCCCGAAGCGGGGGAUAACAUUUGGAAACAAGUGCUAAUACCGCAUAAUUAGUUGGAACCGCAUGGUUCCAACUUGAAAGAUGGCUCUGCUAUCACUUUGGGAUGGACCCGCGCCGUAUUAGUUAGUUGGUGAGAUAAAAGCCCACCAAGACGAUGAUACGUAGCCGACCUGAGAGGGUAAUCGGCCACAUUGGGACUGAGACACGGCCCAGACUCCUACGGGAGGCAGCAGUAGGGAAUCUUCCACAAUGGACGAAAGUCUGAUGGAGCAACGCCGCGUGAGUGAUGAAGGUUUUCGGAUCGUAAAACUCUGUUGUUAAAGAAGAACAAGUGUUAGAGUAACUGUUAACACUUUGACGGUAUUUAACCAGAAAGCCACGGCUAACUACGUGCCAGCAGCCGCGGUAAUACGUAGGUGGCAAGCGUUGUCCGGAUUUAUUGGGCGUAAAGCGAGCGCAGGCGGUUUUGUAAGUCUGCUGUGAAAGCCCUCAGCUCAACUGAGGAAGUGCAGUGGAAACUACAAAACUUGAGUACAGAAGAGGAAAGUGGAACUCCAUGUGUAGCGGUGAAAUGCGUAGAUAUAUGGAAGAACACCAGUGGCGAAGGCGGCUUUCUGGUCUGUUACUGACGCUGAGGCUCGAAAGCAUGGGUAGCGAACAGGAUUAGAUACCCUGGUAGUCCAUGCCGUAAACGAUGAAUACUAGGUGUUGGAGGGUUUCCGCCCUUCAGUGCCGCAGCUAACGCAUUAAGUAUUCCGCCUGGGGAGUACGACCGCAAGGUUGAAACUCAAAGGAAUUGACGGGGGCCCGCACAAGUGGUGGAGCAUGUGGUUUAAUUCGAUGCUACGCGAAGAACCUUACCAGCUCUUGACAUCUUCUGCCAACCCAAGAGAUUGGGCGUUCCCUUCGGGGACAGAAUGACAGGUGGUGCAUGGUUGUCGUCAGCUCGUGUCGUGAGAUGUUGGGUUAAGUCCCGCAACGAGCGCAACCCUUAUUAUUAGUUGCCAGCAUUUAGUUGGGCACUCUAGUGAGACUGCCGGUGAUAAACCGGAGGAAGGUGGGGACGACGUCAAAUCAUCAUGCCCCUUAUGAGCUGGGCUACACACGUGCUACAAUGGAUGGUACAACGAGUCGCGAAACCGCGAGGUCAAGCUAAUCUCUUAAAGCCAUUCUCAGUUCGGAUUGCAGGCUGCAACUCGCCUGCAUGAAGUUGGAAUCACUAGUAAUCGUGGAUCAGCAUGCCACGGUGAAUACGUUCCCGGGCCUUGUACAGCACCGCCCGUCACACCAUGAGA